UACGUAGGGUGCAAGCGUUGUCCGGAAUUAUUGGGCGUAAAGAGCUCGUAGGCGGUCUGUCGCGUCGGCUGUGAAAUCCCGGAGCUCAACUCCGGGCCUGCAGUCGAUACGGGCAGACUGGAGUUCGGCAGGGGAGACUGGAAUUCCUGGUGUAGCGGUGGAAUGCGUAGAUAUCCGGAGGAACACCGGUGGCGAAGGCGGCUUCCUGGACCGACACUGACGCUGAGGCGCGAAAGCUAGGGGAGCAAACGGG
rnacentral:rRNA from 1 species